CUACUUCCUCUUUACCGUCUUUCACUCGUUUUAUUGUUUUCUUUUUAGUUACCUUUUUCUUACCCCCUUCGAUAACAGUGGUGGUUUGAAUAUCUACCGAUUCUGUUUCAUCGGGUACUAAUGUAGCCUCUGUGGGUUUGUCUAAUUGUGUAAUAUCGAGAGGCCCAACUUCUUCAUCUACCAAUUCAGAUAUUUCAGGUUUAGAUUCUACAACCUCUACUUCCUCUUUACCGUCUUUCACUCGUUUUAUUGUUUUCUUUUUAGUUACCUUUUUCUUACCCCCUUCGAUAACAGUGGUGGUUUGAAUAUCUACCGAUUCUGUUUCAUCGGGUACUAAUGUAGCCUCUGUGGGUUUGUCUAAUUGUGUAAUAUCGAGAGGCCCAACUUCUUCAUCUACCAAUUCAGAUAUUUCAGGUUUAGAUUCUACAACCUCUACUUCCUCUUUACCGUCUUUCACUCGUUUUAUUGUUUUCUUUUUAGUUACCUUUUUCUUACCCCCUUCGAUAACAGUGGUGGUUUGAAUAUCUACCGAUUCUGUUUCAUCGGGUACUAAUGUAGCCUCUGUGGGUUUGUCUAAUUGUGUAAUAUCGAGAGGCCCAACUUCUUCAUCUACCAAUUCAGAUAUUUCAGGUUUAGAUUCUACAACCUCUACUUCCUCUUUACCGUCUUUCACUCGUUUUAUUGUUUUCUUUUUAGUUACCUUUUUCUUACCCCCUUCGAUAACAGUGGUGGUUUGAAUAUCUACCGAUUCUGUUUCAUCGGGUACUAAUGUAGCCUCUGUGGGUUUGUCUAAUUGUGUAAUAUCGAGAGGCCCAACUUCUUCAUCUACCAAUUCAGAUAUUUCAGGUUUAGAUUCUACAACCUCUACUUCCUCUUUACCGUCUUUCACUCGUUUUAUUGUUUUCUUUUUAGUUACCUUUUUCUUACCCCCUUCGAUAACAGUGGUGGUUUGAAUAUCUACCGAUUCUGUUUCAUCGGGUACUAAUGUAGCCUCUGUGGGUUUGUCUAAUUGUGUAAUAUCGAGAGGCCCAACUUCUUCAUCUACCAAUUCAGAUAUUUCAGGUUUAGAUUCUACAACCUCUACUUCCUCUUUACCGUCUUUCACUCGUUUUAUUGUUUUCUUUUUAGUUACCUUUUUCUUACCCCCUUCGAUAACAGUGGUGGUUUGAAUAUCUACCGAUUCUGUUUCAUCGGGUACCAA